rnacentral:lncRNA from 1 species
AGUCAUAAAAUAAUCGAUUGUGUACCUUUCAAUCGAGUGCAUUAAGGCAGUGUCUAAUUGAUUUUUCAAAGACUGAUAUAUAAUCGAUUGUUCUCAUAGCAUAAUCGAUUGUGUAAUUGACCGUUGCCAAAAUAUUUUCAAAAAACGUCAGGUAAUCGAUUAUAGAUUUCUAAUAAUCGAUUGUUUUAAAUAAAAUCAGAAAAAAAAUUUUUGAACGUU